UACGUAGGGAGCAAGCGUUGUCCGGAAUCAUUGGGCGUAAAGCGCGCGUAGGCGGCCCUGUAAGUCCGUUGUGAAAGUCAAAGGCUCAACCUUUGAAAGCCGAUGGAUACUGCAGGGCUAGAGUCCGGAAGAGGCGAGUGGAAUUCCUGGUGUAGCGGUGGAAUGCGCAGAUAUCAAGAGGAACACCAAUAGCGAAGGCAGCUCGCUGGGACGGUACUGACGCUAAGGCGCGAAAGCGUGGGGGAGCAAAC
rnacentral:rRNA from 1 species